rnacentral:lncRNA from 1 species
AUUUUUGGAAAAAAAUUAAAGCCCCAGAAAAGAACCAAAUAUUUCUCAUUUUUACUUUUCCCUUUGAUUCAUGAAAAACAUUUUUCAAAAAGACCAAAAGCACCACAGCACAAGGACUUCCCUUGAAUGCAAAGAACAGAUCUGGAGAAGGCACUCUAGAGAAGAUGUAGACAUUUUUUGACAAGGCUCCUCCCAAGAAGCCAAGGUGUCAAGGAACGCCUCAGGUGAGUUGAGAUGGCGAGGGUUGCCGCUAGCAGCUCCACAGGUCACACGAGGGCAGGACUGGAGUGCUGCUGAGCACCAGGCGAGGAUCGCCCACAAAUGAGGGACACAACCAAGGACAAAGUUGACAAGAUUCAAAAGUGGUUUGGGUAAAAGAGACUCAAUCCUAGAGGGGCAUUUGAUUCCAAAAGGGAAGAAGACGUACUUCAUCUGGAACAUCGUGAAGUCACAGAAGAACUUCACAAGUGUUCCGAUCGGAAGGGAGCCCUUUGAGUAAGUGAAAUGAAGCGUGAAUAACUGCCUAAUUAGUGGACAUGAAAACUGGACAGUCUCCAAAGUCAUCAGAGAUGACCACGCUUGCCAGGCAACUUACUAGACUAAGGGCACACAAUGAGCCUCACGUAAGCAUCAGGUACUACAUUUAGGAAGAGAGAUGGUGUGAGGAUGCAGUGGCCAGAAGAGGCAGCCCAGGGAAGAUCUGAGGUGAACCCUCUGGUUGGAAAGCCUUGGCAAAUUGGAGGAAUGAAAAGAAAAAAGAGUAAAUCUACAACAAGGAUCAGCAAACUCCAGUCUACAGGCCAAAUCCAGCCUGCUGCCUGUUUAUGUCAAUAAAGUUUUAUUGGAACAUA